rnacentral:rRNA from 1 species
CCUACGGGAGGCUGCAGUGGGGAAUCUUGGACAAUGGGGGCAACCCUGAUCCAGCAAUGCCGCGUGCGGGAAGAAGGCCUUCGGGUUGUAAACCGCUUUUGGCAGGGAAGAAAUUGUCCGUGCUAAUACCAUGGAUAGAUGACGGUACCUGCAGAAUAAGCACCGGCUAACUACGUGCCAGCAGCCGCGGUAAUACGUAGGGUGCGAGCGUUAAUCGGAAUUACUGGGCGUAAAGCGUGCGCAGGCGGUUGGGAAAGAUCGAUGUGAAAUCCCCGGGCUUAACCUGGGAAUUGCAUUGAUGACUAUCCGACUAGAGUACGGUAGAGGGGAGUGGAAUUCCGCGUGUAGCAGUGAAAUGCGUAGAUAUGCGGAGGAACACCGAUGGCGAAGGCAGCUCCCUGGACCUGUACUGACGCUCAUGCACGAAAGCGUGGGGAGCA